ACGGAAGGCAGCAGUGAGGAAUAUUGGUCAAUGGACGGAAGCCUGAACCAGCCAAGUCGCGUGAAGGAUGAAGGUAUUAUGUAUUGUAAACUUCUUUAGACGUAGAGAAAUAAGAGGCUCGUGAGCCUUGAUGCUAGUAUACGUAGAAUAAGGAUCGGCUAACUCCGUGCCAGCAGCCGCGGUAAUACGGAGGAUCCGAGCGUUAUCCGGAUUUAUUGGGUUUAAAGGGUGCGCAGGCGGCCCUGUAAGUCAGCGGUUAAAUCGUGGAGCUCAACUCCAUCCCGCCGUUGAUACUGCAGGGCUUGAUUGCGGUCGAGGUUGGCGGAAUUCGCCGUGUAGCGGUGAAAUGCAUAGAUAUGGCGAAGAACGCCGAUUGCGUAGGCAGCUGACCAGGCCGUAAAUGACGCUCAUGCACGAAAGUGCGGGGAUCGAACAGGAUUAGAUACCCUGGUA
rnacentral:rRNA from 1 species